rnacentral:rRNA from 1 species
AACGGAGAAGUAUACCUUGCGAGCGUCAUUUCUCUCUCCACACCUAGUGGGUAUUGGCACUGUACACAGUGCUCAAAACAAUCAUGCGUAUGUGUUAACCACAAUGUGCGCUUAAAACUUAACUAUUGACCUCGUAUAAGGUAAGAGUACCCACUGAACUUAAGCAUAUCAAUAAGUGGAGGAAAAGAAACCAACAGGGAUUGCCUUAGUAGCGGCGAGUGAAGCGGCAAAAGCUCAAAUUUGAAAUCUGCCUUACGGCCGAGUUGUAAUUUGUAGAUGGUAACUCUGCGACAAGUCUUUGCUCAAGUGUUCUGGAAAGGACCAUCAUGGAGGGUGAUAAUCCCGUGAGGCAUUGAUGCAGUUGCGUGUAGAGUGCUAUCGAAGAGUCGAGUUGUUUGGGAAUGCAGCUCAAAGUGGGUGGUAGACACCAUCUAAAGCUAAAUAUUGGCGAGAGACCGAUAGCGAACAAGUACUGUGAAGGAAAGAUGAAAAGCACUUUGAAAAGAGAGUGAAAAAGUACGUGAAAUUAUUGAUACAGAAGGAUAUACAAUUGGACACGGAGUCUUGGGUUCGCUGCUUCUUCGGGAGUAGUUUGUCCCUUGAUUCUUCACCAGCAUCAGUUUUGGCAGGAGGAUAAACAACAUGGAAUGUAGCUGCUUGCAGUGUUAUAGACUUGUUGCAUACUCUUUGCCGGGACUGAGGUCAGCCUUUGUAGGAUGCUGGGGUAACGAUUGUAUAUCACCCGUCUUGAAACAC